rnacentral:miRNA from 1 species
UUCAACUUGCAUUUCAGGAAAAAAAAUAUAUGUUUUAGUAUAAGUAUGUGUCAUGCAAUAUUUUCGACAUACUUGUACUAAAAAUAUUUUGUUUAUGCGAAAUUCAUACUUAACU